AGGGGCAUAGUGUCAAUGGUUAGCACGUCGGUCUCCAAAACCGAAAGUCCGGGUUCAAAUCCUGGUGCCCCUGCCA
rnacentral:tRNA from 1 species